UGAUUGUCCAAACGCAAUUCUUGUGCAACGGGAAGGUACAAACCAAGAAUUGUGUCUGGACAUCUGU
rnacentral:pre_miRNA from 1 species